UUGACGGGGACCCGCACAAGCAGCGGAGCAUGUGGUUUAAUUCGAAGCAACGCGAAGAACCUUACCAAGGCUUGACAUCCUCUGACAGGCAUAGAAAUAUGUUUUCCCUUCGGGGCAGAGAGACAGGUGGUGCAUGGUUGUCGUCAGCUCGUGUCGUGAGAUGUUGGGUUAAGUCCCGCAACGAGCGCAACCCUUAUCAUUAGUUGCCAGCACUUCGGGUGGGAACUCUAAUGAGACUGCCGGGGAUAACUCGGAGGAAGGUGGGGACGACGUCAAAUCAUCAUGCCCCUUAUGUCUUGGGCUACACACGUGCUACAAUGGCCGGUACAAAGGGCAGCGAAACCGUAAGGUGAAGCGAAUCCCAUAAAGCCGGUCCCAGUUCGGAUCGUGGGCUGCAACCCGCCCACGUGAAGCCGGAGUUGCUAGUAAUCGCGAAUCAGCAUGUCGCGGUGAAUGCGUUCCCGGGUCUUGUACACACCGCCCGUCACACCAUGGGAGUUGGGAGCGCCCGAAGCCAGUGAGCUAACCAGCAAUGGAGGCAGCUGUCGAAGGUGAGAUC
rnacentral:rRNA from 1 species